rnacentral:rRNA from 1 species
UACGUAGGGUGCGAGCGUUGUCCGGAAUUACUGGGCGUAAAGAGCUCGUAGGUGGUUUGUCGCGUUGUUCGUGAAAUCCCACGGCUUAACUGUGGGCGUGCGGGCGAUACGGGCAGACUGGAGUACUGCAGGGGAGACUGGAAUUCCUGGUGUAGCGGUGGAAUGCGCAGAUAUCAGGAGGAACACCGGUGGCGAAGGCGGGUCUCUGGGCAGUAACUGACGCUGAGACGCGAAAGCGUGGGGAGCGAACAGG